rnacentral:rRNA from 1 species
UGCGUAGGUGGCUCGGUAAGUUUGAUGUGAAAUCUCCGGGCUUAACCCGGAAAUGGCAUUGAAUACUAUUGAGCUGGAGGUUUGGAGGGGGGACUGGAAUUCUCGGUGUAGCAGUGAAAUGCGUAGAUAUCGAGAGGAACACCAGUGGCGAAGGCGAGUCCCUGGACAACACCUGACACUGAGGCACGAAAGUGGAGGGCAGAC